rnacentral:rRNA from 1 species
AUUGAACGCUGGCGGCAGGCUUAACACAUGCAAGUCGAGCGGAGAUGAGGUGCUUGCACCUUAUCUUAGCGGCGGACGGGUGAGUAAUGCUUAGGAAUCUGCCAUUUAGUGGGGGACAACAUUCCGAAAGGAAUGCUAAUACCGCAUACGUCCUACGGGAGAAAGCCGGGGAUCUUCGGAUCUUGCGCUCAAUGAUGAGCCUAAGUCGGAUUAGCUAGUUGGUGGGGUAAAGGCCUACCAGGGCGACGAUCUGUCGCGGGUCUGAGAGGAUGAUCCGCCACACUGGGACUGAGACACGGCCCAGACUCCUACGGGAGGCAGCAGUGGGGAAUAUUGGACAAUGGGCGGAAGCCUGAUCCAGCCAUGCCGCGUGUGUGAAGAAGGCCUUUUGGUUGUAAAGCACUUUAAGCGAGGAGGAGGCUACUAGUACUAAUACUACUGGAUAGUGGACGUUACUCGCAGAAUAAGCACCGGCUAACUCUGUGCCAGCAGCCGCGGUAACAC